AACGGAGAAAAAAAGAUUGUACCAGUAACUCACUGACAGGGUUUGGUGCCUUUUUUCUGACUGUCGGCCGGAUCUCCGUUAUAACGGUGAUAACAUGAACUGGUUCAUUCCAAGAAUCAACCCUGAUGGCACCAAUUACCCAAGUCAAAGAUCAGAUGGAAAUCUCAAAAGGUCCAAAGAAAAGCUUCAGCCUGAACCCAUCAAGGUGUUUCUCAUCAGAAAGCUUGUCAACUUUGACUCCCGUAAUUAUUGAAAUGUAACACAACACAAACUGACUUUUACUGCAUUUUUAAGGCCUGUUUUGCUUUUCAGUAUGUGUACUUUUUUGCCAUGCUACAGAAGAAAGAAAAUGUUUAAAAUGAUUAAAAAGAAUAUUAUAUGGACAAAU